CAAGAAAGCAGACACCACGACAGGAGACAGAAGAGUCGCCAACAAUUUAGCGAGGAGUACCUGAGGAAGAUGCCGAGGGGUGGAUGGCCACGGGUGAUUGUGGUUGCUGAUGGUUCGUGUGGAGACUCCUGCUCGGUUCUGGGCAUCAGCGCUGAUUACAUCGUAGAAUCAUGUCGCGCUUACGGCGCCAAUGCUACUAUAGAAAGACUGGACCAGAGACAGGUUCCCACACCUGAGAUCCGUGCACAUAGUUUGUAUUUUGAUCUGUCGGCAUACGGGAUCGACACUGUGAGGGAAUCACGCCGCUCCUCGCAGCCGGCAGCGAAGCCUGGAUUCCAUCUGAAGAUCUACGGAACGUUCCGGAACCGCUACAUGGCUCUGGCCUGCACUUCGGACGCAGACUCCAAAAUGAUGCAUUUCCUGCGCCACACGGCCAACUCUUCAAUCAUGAAGAACAUCUUCCACCAGUCGUUUAACGCGUAUAAGACAGACAUCGAGCCGCGUCUGCGUGAACUCACGCUGCACCACAUGCAGUGCAGCCGCAAGCUGUUCGAGAUCAUGCUGUCCUACAGACGCGUCAGCGCCGCUUACAUCGAAGGAGACAACGUCGCCGUGACUGUGGAAGGAGAAGCUGCGCGAGUGCUCAACUUUGACACUGGUUGUGGUGUGAAUCUGGGCAUGAGAGGACUGGAGUCUCUGGGAAUGUUCAUCUACAGAACGGCCACGGCGCUGGACCAGAACGACGUGUUUGAGGCGCUCUCGGCCAAAAUCCAGCACUCCAGACACGUGGCAGAGACUUUCAGGAAGAGCGGACUGGCCUCGGCAGUGUUUGAAUGACCCUGAGCAUCUUGUCAAAAACAAGAACCGGAGACCGAUCCAGCCUAAAAUGGCCACAAACCUUACUGAAGAUACAGUGACCAUAAAAAAAAGAUACGUGGAGUCUUAUAAAAAUAUAAAAGCCACUGCAUUAGAUAAUAAAAUAUCAAAGCAAGUGUCCUAAUUAGUGCAGUGUUAGUCACCAACAGACUCUACUGCUACAGGACGAACAAGUCAGACUAUGAUGUUGACUAUUCACUAUGAAAUGAAUACUAGCAAAAAUGAAUAGGUCCCAGCAAUAGUUUAGUGUGAAUCACUAACAGACAGCAUCAUCAGAUCUGUAGAAAUUAAGUGCCUGGCAGAAAUCACAUUCAGUUCAUGUUACAUACAGAAAUAAAGAUGUCUAUUUAUUUUGUGAUAUUUGUUAAUAAAAUGAAGUGUU
rnacentral:lncRNA from 1 species